AGACCAGCAAGUCCAAUGGAAUUGUACCCUUCCACAAGGUACCUACUGCAGAGCAGAUGUCUAAUGACAUUGAUGAAUCUUCAGAUGCUACAGACUACGAUGAUGCUGACUUUGUUCCAGAGUCAAGUUGGAAUUCCUCAGACUCAAGUUCUUCUAUUAAGGGACUCAAAAUCAAAGAAAAUCAUCUUACCCACAAAGUGAAAAAGUCAUUGGGGAUCAGUACAGGACAAAGUGGGGAUAGUACCACAUGUUCAGUGAAACCAAGUUCUUCAAGGAUGAGUGGCGGUAAUUCUAGUACAGUGACAAGUAGUAGUUCACAUUUUUCAGAAAAGACAUCACCCAAGAAAAGCUCCAUAAAUGUCACAGCAUUACCAAACACUACAAAACAAAAGUACAACAAGAAGCAAUAUUGUCUGUAUUGUAAAAAGGCAAUUUCUAAAUUGGCAAGACACCUCGAAUCCGCCCACAGUGAACAGCAUGAUGUUGCAAAGGCUUUCAGUUUUAAUAAAAGAUCCCGUGAAAGAAGACAGAUGUUGCGCUCCCUUAAGAAGAGGGGAAACUUUCACCAUAAUGCUACCGUUGCAAGCUGUGGUGCUGGAGAAAUGGUUGCUUGUCGAAGACCUUCUAAAGAGAAACAAUCUGAUGACUACCGUCACUGCAAGUUUUGUCAGGGACUCUAUGCAAGAGAUUGCCUAUGGAGACAUGUUAAAAACUGCCCUCAGAAGCCUGAUGAGGGAGAGCCUCAAGGUGGGCGAAAACGGAUCCACCUUGAUCUACCAAAACCUGAUUCAGUUCAGGAAGCAGUUUGGAAGAUUGCCUGUGAAAUGAACCAGGAUGACAUUUCCUCGGUUGUAAGGAGUGAAAGUGACAUCCUUAGUCUCGGUGAGUCCCUUUACAAUGCAAGGAAACCACACGAGAAAAUAAAUGAUUACAUUCGCCAAAAAAUGAGAGAGAUGGCAAGACUUUUACAGCAAGAGCAAUAGGUCCUUUGAAAAGAGCCGAAGAUCUUGUUAUGCCCAGUAACUUUCCCCACAUGAUACGAGCUGUUAGAGAGGUUGCUGGUUAUGAGUUGGGAAGCAACUCAUAUACAAUUCCAUCUUUGGCUCUUAAAUUGGGGCACAGUUUGGCCAAACUUGCAGGCAUUGUGCAAUGCAAUGCUAUCAUUGCAAAUCGCCAUGCUGUUGCAGAGUCUGCCAAGCAAUUUGCCAUUCUUUACGAGAAAAGAUGGACAGAGUCCAUUUCAGGUGCUGCAUUAGGUACACUUCAACAGGCCAAAUGGAAUAAACCACAAGUGUUGCCCUUUACAAGUGAUGUGUGUCUGCUGCACACGUUACUAUCUACUGAGCGUGCUCAGUGCAUGAAGGACCUUGCGGAAGAACCGAAUAGCCAAAGCUUUGGAAAUCUUGCUCAAGUUACUUUGACACAGAUAGUGCUCUUUAACAGAAAAAGACAGGGGGAAGUAUCAAAAAUGGAGCUCCAGACAUUCACAUCCAGGAAUCGUACGGAGUUGAAUCCUGACAUUAUGAUGGGCCUCACCGAGUUUGAAAAGACUCUUACAAAGUACUUUAACAGGGUUGAGAUUCGGGGUAAAAGGUCAAGGAUGGUGCCUGUGCUUCUCACACCUGAAAUAAUAAUAAUAAUAUAUUUUAUUUAUAAGCGCACUUUUCAUUUGCGUAAACAAAACUCAAAGUGCUACAAAAUUAAAAAGGGUGAAAUGAUUGCUGCAAUGAACUUACUUGUGGAAAAGAGAAAUGAGUGUCAAAUCCACACAGACAAUGUAUACUUGUUUGCACGCCCAGGUGGUCUUUCCCAUUACAGGGGCUCUGACUGCUUUCGCAAGUAUGCGAACCAAUCUGGUGCGAAAAACCCAGAGGCACUCACCUCAACAAGAUUGCGGAAACAAGUCGCCACUUUGUCCACAGUACUUAACCUCAAGGAAAACGAAAUGGAUCAACUUGCCACCUUUCUAGGACAUGACAUUCGUGUCCACAGAUAAUUCUACCGUCUUCCAGAAAGUACCCUGCAACUUGCAAAAGUCAGCAAGUUGCUGAUAGCAAUGGAAAAAGGAAGACUGUCUGACCUGCAGGGGAAAGGGCUGGAUGACAUAGAGAUCAAUCCUGAAGAUGAAGUAAGCACGAGUGAUGAUGAAACUGGUGAAGAAUCCAUUGCUGACAUACAUCAAAACAUAGAUUCCCAGAAGAACACAACACUUCACUUGGCUUCAAACAAAGCUUCCUCAAAGUGCUCAAAUGGAAAGCAAGCUGGGAAGAUGAGAAGCAAGUGGACAGGUGAAGAGGUGAAGGCUGUUGAGCGGCAUUUGUUUGACUUCAUAACAAGCUGCAGAGUACCUGGGAAAAAGGACUGUGACUCCUGUCUCAAAGCAGAGCCAGUAGCUCUGAAAGACAGGGACUGGGUUGCAGUCAAGUAUUACACCCACAACAGAAUCAUCGCCUUAAAAAGGAAGAUUAAUUCAUAGGACUAUAACAUGCCAA